UCGGGAAUUUUGGGCAAUGGGCGAAAGCCUGACCCAGCAACGCCGCGUGAGGGAUGAAGUAUUUCGGUAUGUAAACCUCGAAAGAAUGGGAAGAAUAAAUGACGGUACCAUUUAUAAGCUCCGGCUAACUACGUGCCAGCAGCCGCGGUAAUACGUAGGGAGCAAGCGUUGUUCGGAAUUACUGGGCGUAAAGGGCGCGUAGGCGGCGCGGUAAGUCACUUGUGAAAUCUCUGAGCUUAACUCAGAACGGCCAAGUGAUACUGCUGUGCUAGAGUGCGGAAGAGGCAACCGGAAUUCUUGGUGUAGCGGUGAAAUGCGUAGAUAUCAAGAGGAACACCUGAGGCGAAGGCGGGUUGCUGGGCCGACACUGACGCUGAUGCGCGAAAGCCAGGGGAGCAAACG
rnacentral:rRNA from 1 species